rnacentral:lncRNA from 1 species
UCAAACUUUCCAAGAUUGUCAAGAUUCUUUUCCUAGUUGGGAUUUACCUUAUUUAUUUAUUUAUAUAUAGGUUAUUAAUAUUUUCCUUAGUCUAUUUAUGGUCUCCUAAGUACCAUUUAAUGCUUUCCUAGAAGUACUAAAUUUGUUCCUAGUUAGGUUACUUUAUUUCCUUUCUAGAGUAGGAUUCCUUGUAAUUGUCUUUCUAGGGUUCUUUGGACGUUUUCUUCCCUUCUCCUAUAUAUAGGAGUCCUUUUCAUUCAUUAAAGACAAUUUAGAUUGAUAUUAAUAAUAUUUGAGAGAGUUCUUUGAACCUUUGUGACUUGUUCUUUGAGAAUUUAUCUUUAAACCUUUACUAGUUUCAUAGUUUAAGGUAUAAAGUAAUUUCUUCUUGUGAUAUCUUUGGUUUCUUUUUGGUAUUCUUUAGAAGGUAAUUAGUUUCUACAUACUAAUUAUUGUCUUUAGUUACUCAUAAAGCGGUCAAGAUCCGAAUCUAUCGUUUUGAUUCGUUUUCUCAAGUAAAGGCGUUAGAUUUCUACCAUAAAUCUAUACGUUGUUACUUGGAUCUUUUCAAGGCCUUAGAACAUCUAAUUCUUGGAAAUUCGUGGAUCUUUCCUUCGAAUCUCCCAUAUCUUUAGUUAGUUUUGUUGUUUCUUUUCUUGUGCUUCCGCAUUCUAAUAUUCAAUUCUCUAUUUGUGAUCUCCUUAACCUUGCUGUUAUCACUAGGCUACUACAUGCUUGGACCUGGCUUAUGUUAGACAUGAAUUGUUUGUCAAUUACGUGAUAUCUGGGACUAUUGUCUCACUGACAUUUUCCCCGUCAUUUAUUACAGUGUUGUUAAGAGCCAAGCUUCAUCUACGAAGAAGGCUUUGGUUGACUUCUGGCAACUUGCAUUCUCAUAUCAAGUGAACCCUCUUGCUGCUGUUCAAUCACUCCCACCUGCAACACGUGGAAGCCGGUGAUGCACAAUUUUGUUCCUCAUACCAGAGCUGUUACUUGUAGAUAAAUGAAAGAUUACUGAGGAUAUUGCUAUUAUCAUCUUAAGUUGGAGAGGAAAUUGAUUUUGAUAAUUGACAAAGAUUGUUGGAAGAAGCAGGGUCCUUAAUAAUACUGUUGAUUAGAGGCAGCUAGCAUUGUUUGUAUGGAAGUAGAAGUUCCUUUACAGUAAGGUCUCAAUUUUUGAAAAAAUCAUGCAACUCCAACUCCACUUUUAUUAUCUCAUGGUGUAUGGACAAAAUGAUGGAGAAAUUUUACUCUUGUGAAUCUCAUAACCAACAUUACUUAAUACUUAUGUGAGGCAGUUUAAAACUCAAUAUUUUGUCAUUACCUUAUAAUCUUUGUCAACCGUUACAAAAUCUGAGGAUUGAGACAAUCUCUCCUUUUAUUUAUUUCUUCACUGCAAGCAGUACUCACAUAAUCUGUUUGUUUCUGUAUAUAUACCAAGAUAUCAAUGAUGAUUCACAUUUCGGAG